AGCGUUGCUCGGAAUUACUGGGCGUAAAGGGAGCGUAGGCGGACAUUUAAGUCAGGGGUGAAAUCCCUGAGCUCAACUCUGGAACUGCCUUUGAUACUGGGUGUCUUGAGUGUGAUAGAGGUAUGUGGAACUCCGAGUGUAG
rnacentral:rRNA from 1 species